GACGAACGCUGGCGGCGUGCUUAACACACGCAAGUCGAACGGAAAGGCCUCUUUCGGGGGGUACUCGAGUGGCGAACGGGUGAGUAACACGUGAGUAACCUGCCCUUGACUUUGGGAUAACUUCAGGAAACUGGGGCUAAUACCGGAUAGGAGCUACUGCUGCAUGGUGGGGGUUGGAAAGUUUCGGCGGUUGGGGAUGGCCUCGCGGCUUAUCAGCUUGGUGGUGGGGUAUUGGCUUACCAAGGCGUUGACGGGUAGCCGGCCUGAGAGGGUGACCGGCGACAGUGGGACUGAGAGACGGCCCAGACUCCUACGGGAGGCAGCAGGGGGGAAGAUUGCACAAUGGGUGGAAGCCGGAUGCAGCAACGCCGUGUGCGGGAUGACGGCCUUCGGGUUGUAAACCGCUUUCGCUCAUGACGAAGCUUUGUGUGACGGUAGUGGGUAAAGAAGCACCGGCUAACUACGUG
rnacentral:rRNA from 1 species